rnacentral:rRNA from 1 species
UUAUAUAAAGUUUGAAUUUUACUUUUAAGUGAAAAGGCUUAAAUAUAUGGGGGGGACGAUAAGACCCUAUAAAACUUUACAGACAUUGUUUGUAUUUUUGAAUUAAAGUUUAAUAUCAAUUGUUAUUGUUGUUUGUUAUGUUGGGGCGACAAAGAUAUAAUUGGAAUAACUGUCAAUUUUAUUAAAUAGUAAUAAUUAGUUAAUUGAUCCUUUAUUAGAGAUUAUAAGAUUAAGUUACUUUAGGGAUAACAGCGUAAUUUUUUCUGAGAGUCCAUAUCGACGAGAAUAGUUGCGACCUCGAUGUUGAAUUAAGAUUUC